rnacentral:rRNA from 1 species
UUAAGCGACUAAGCGUACACGGUGGAUGCCCUGGCAGUCAGAGGCGAUGAAGGGCGUGCUAAUCUGCGAUAAGCGCCGGUAAGGUGAUAUGAACCGUUAUAACCGGCGAUACCCGAAUGGGGAAACCCAGUGUGACUCGUCACACUAUCAUUAACUGAAUCCAUAGGUUAAUGAGGCGAACCGGGGGAACUGAAACAUCUAAGUACCCCGAGGAAAAGAAAUCAACCGAGAUUCCCCCAGUAGCGGCGAGCGAACGGGGAGGAGCCCAGAGCCUGAAUCAGCAUGUGUGUUAGUGGAAGCGUCUGGAAAGGCGCGCGAUACAGGGUGACAGCCCCGUACACAAAAGCGCAUGUGCUGUGAGCUCGAUGAGUAGGGCGGGACACGUGGUAUCCUGUCUGAAUAUGGGGGGACCAUCCUCCAAGGCUAAAUACUCCUGACUGACCGAUAGUGAACCAGUACCGUGAGGGAAAGGCGAAAAGAACCCCGGCGAGGGGAGUGAAAAAGAACCUGAAACCGUGUACGUACAAGCAGUGGGAGCNGCUUUGGGGUGGGGUGACUGCGUACCUUUUGUAUAAUGGGUCAGCGACUUAUAUUCUGUAGCAAGGUUAACCGAAUAGGGGAGCCGGAGGGAAACCGAGUCUUAAUUGGGCGUUAAGUUGCAGGGUAUAGACCCGAAACCCGGUGAUCUAGCCAUGGGCAGGUUGAAGGUUGGGUAACACUAACUGGAGGACCGAACCGACUAAUGUUGAAAAAUUAGCGGAUGACCUGUGGCUGGGGGUGAAAGGCCAAUCAAACCGGGAGAUAGCUGGUUCUCCCCGAAAGCUAUUUAGGUAGCGCCUCGUGAAUUCAUCUCCGGGGGUAGAGCACUGUUUCGGCUAGGGGGCCAUCCCGGCUUACCAACCCGAUGCAAACUGCGAAUACCGGAGAAUGUUAUCACGGGAGACACACGGCGGGUGCUAACGUCCGUCGUGAAGAGGGAAACAACCCAGACCGCCAGCUAAGGUCCCAAAGUCAUGGUUAAGUGGGAAACGAUGUGGGAAGGCCCAGACAGCCAGGAUGUUGGCUUAGAAGCAGCCAUCAUUUAAAGAAAGCGUAAUAGCUCACUGGUCGAGUCGGCCUGCGCGGAAGAUGUAACGGGGCUAAACCAUGCACCGAAGCUGCGGCAGCGACGCUUAUGCGUUGUUGGGUAGGGGAGCGUUCUGUAAGCCUGUGAAGGUGGCCUGUGAGGGUUGCUGGAGGUAUCAGAAGUGCGAAUGCUGACAUAAGUAACGAUAAAGCGGGUGAAAAGCCCGCUCGCCGGAAGACCAAGGGUUCCUGUCCAACGUUAAUCGGGGCAGGGUGAGUCGACCCCUAAGGCGAGGCCGAAAGGCGUAGUCGAUGGGAAACGGGUUAAUAUUCCCGUACUUGGUGUUACUGCGAAGGGGGGACGGAGAAGGCUAUGUUGGCCGGGCGACGGUUGUCCCGGUUUAAGCGUGUAGGUGUGUGUUCCAGGUAAAUCCGGUUCACUUUAACACUGAGGCGUGACGACGAGGCACUACGGUGCUGAAGCAACAAAUGCCCUGCUUCCAGGAAAAGCCUCUAAGCAUCAGGUAACAUCAAAUCGUACCCCAAACCGACACAGGUGGUCAGGUAGAGAAUACCAAGGCGCUUGAGAGAACUCGGGUGAAGGAACUAGGCAAAAUGGUGCCGUAACUUCGGGAGAAGGCACGCUGACACGUAGGUGAAGUGAUUUACUCAUGGAGCUGAAGUCAGUCGAAGAUACCAGCUGGCUGCAACUGUUUAUUAAAAACACAGCACUGUGCAAACACGAAAGUGGACGUAUACGGUGUGACGCCUGCCCGGUGCCGGAAGGUUAAUUGAUGGGGUCAGCGCAAGCGAAGCUCCUGAUCGAAGCCCCGGUAAACGGCGGCCGUAACUAUAACGGUCCUAAGGUAGCGAAAUUCCUUGUCGGGUAAGUUCCGACCUGCACGAAUGGCGUAAUGAUGGCCAGGCUGUCUCCACCCGAGACUCAGUGAAAUUGAACUCGCUGUGAAGAUGCAGUGUACCCGCGGCAAGACGGAAAGACCCCGUGAACCUUUACUAUAGCUUGACACUGAACAUUGAGCCUUGAUGUGUAGGAUAGGUGGGAGGCUUUGAAGUGUGGACGCCAGUCUGCAUGGAGCCGACCUUGAAAUACCACCCUUUAAUGUUUGAUGUUCUAACGUGGACCCGUGAUCCGGGUUGCGGACAGUGUCUGGUGGGUAGUUUGACUGGGGCGGUCUCCUCCUAAAGAGUAACGGAGGAGCACGAAGGUUGGCUAAUCCUGGUCGGACAUCAGGAGGUUAGUGCAAUGGCAUAAGCCAGCUUGACUGCGAGCGUGACGGCGCGAGCAGGUGCGAAAGCAGGUCAUAGUGAUCCGGUGGUUCUGAAUGGAAGGGCCAUCGCUCAACGGAUAAAAGGUACUCCGGGGAUAACAGGCUGAUACCGCCCAAGAGUUCAUAUCGACGGCGGUGUUUGGCACCUCGAUGUCGGCUCAUCACAUCCUGGGGCUGAAGUAGGUCCCAAGGGUAUGGCUGUUCGCCAUUUAAAGUGGUACGCGAGCUGGGUUUAGAACGUCGUGAGACAGUUCGGUCCCUAUCUGCCGUGGGCGCUGGAGAACUGAGGGGGGCUGCUCCUAGUACGAGAGGACCGGAGUGGACGCAUCACUGGUGUUCGGGUUGUCAUGCCAAUGGCACUGCCCGGUAGCUAAAUGCGGAAGAGAUAAGUGCUGAAAGCAUCUAAGCACGAAACUUGCCCCGAGAUGAGUUCUCCCUGAGACUUAGAGUCUCCUGAAGGAACGUUGAAGACGACGACGUUGAUAGGCCGGGUGUGUAAGCGCAGCGAUGCGUUGAGCUAACCGGUACUAAUGAACCGUGAGGCUUAACCUU